rnacentral:rRNA from 1 species
AUGGUCGAGGCAGACAGGCACAUCAAGGAUCUGACCAUCAUCACCGAGUACGUCAGCGAGGUUGACUACCUUCGAAACUGUGAGCACGACAACGGCGACAGCAUGAUGACUCUGCUCUCAGCCGAGCUGCCAUCCAAGAGCCUCGUCAUCUGCCCCGACAAGCGGAGCAACAUUGCACGGUUCAUCAACGGGAUAAACAACCACACGCCUGCAGGGAAGGCAGGAAGAAGUAGAACCUCAAGUGCGUGCGGUUCGCAAUCGACGGUGAAUCCAUUAUCUCUUGGGGGCCAACAGGGACAUCUCCUAGGGGGAGAGGUUGUACUACGACUACAACGGUGA